AUAAUAACGCAAAACCGGGAAAAAAAACGUAGGAAAUACGUACAAUAAAGUGUACGAUAUUGGGUUUUAUGUUCUCGUGUUCGUGUUCAAUUAAAAAAUAUUGUAGAGACCAGCAGUUUUCACAAAAUACUCAUACAAUAAAACGCCGACUAUCCAGAGUGAUUAAUGUCAAGGGUGAUCCGGAUGAUUGACAUAUGACACAUCAAGAGUUUUAUAAUUGUACAAAUAUAUUUUAAAUAUUUAUUAUUU